rnacentral:rRNA from 1 species
CCUAUACAUGCAGUCGAACGAUGAACCACCUUCGGGUGGGGAUUAGUGGCGAACGGGUGAGUAACACGUGGGCAAUCUGCCCUGCACUCUGGGACAAGCCCUGGAAACGGGGUCUAAUACCGGAUACUGACCCUCGCAGGCAUCUGCGAGGUUCGAAAGCUCCGGCGGUGCAGGAUGAGCCCGCGGCCUAUCAGCUAGUUGGUGAGGUAAUGGCUCACCAAGGCGACGACGGGUAGCCGGCCUGAGAGGGCGACCGGCCACACUGGGACUGAGACACGGCCCAGACUCCUACGGGAGGCAGCAGUGGGGAAUAUUGCACAAUGGGCGAAAGCCUGAUGCAGCGACGCCGCGUGAGGGAUGACGGCCUUCGGGUUGUAAACCUCUUUCAGCAGGGAAGAAGCGAAAGUGACGGUACCUGCAGAAGAAGCGCCGGCUAACUACGUGCCAGCAGCCGCGGUAAUACGUAGGGCGCAAGCGUUGUCCGGAAUUAUUGGGCGUAAAGAGCUCGUAGGCGGCUUGUCACGUCGGUUGUGAAAGCCCGGGGCUUAACCCCGGGUCUGCAGUCGAUACGGGCAGGCUAGAGUUCGGUAGGGGAGAUCGGAAUUCCUGGUGUAGCGGUGAAAUGCGCAGAUAUCAGGAGGAACACCGGUGGCGAAGGCGGAUCUCUGGGCCGAUACUGACGCUGAGGAGCGAAAGCGUGGGGAGCGAACAGGAUUAGAUACCCUGGUAGUCCA